UACGUAGGUGGCAAGCGUUUGUCCGGAUUACUGGGCGUAAAGAGCGCGCAGGCGGUCGUUCAAGUCGCGUGUGAAAGCCCCCGGCUCAACUGGGGAGGGUCACGCGAUACUGAUCGACUCGAAGGCAGGAGAGGGAAGUGGAAUUCCCGGUGUAGUGGUGAAAUGCGUAGAUAUCGGGAGGAACACCUGUGGCGAAAGCGGCGCACUGGACCACAA
rnacentral:rRNA from 1 species